rnacentral:rRNA from 1 species
UUGGAGGGCAAGUCUGGUGCCAGCAGCCGCGGUAAUUCCAGCUCCAAUAGCGUAUAUUAAAGUUGUUGCAGUUAAAAAGCUCGUAGUUGAAUUUCGGGAUCAAUGUUUCGGUCAUGCCGUUGGUAUGUACUGAUAUUAUUGAUUUCUCACCUUCUAAAGAACCGUAAUGCCAUUAAUUUGGUGUCACGGGGAAUUAGGACUGUUACCUUGAAAAAAUUAGAGUGUUUAAAGCAGGCUUACGCUUGAAUACAUUAGCAUGGAAUAAUGAAAUAGGACAUCCGAUUCUAUUUUGUUGGUUUCUAGGAUCGAUGUAAUGAUUAAUAGGGAUAGUUGGGGGCAUUAGUAUUCAAUUGUCAGAGGUGAAAUUCUUGGAUUCAUUGAAGACUAACUACUGCGAAAGCAUUUGCCAAGGAUGUUUUCAUUAAUCAAGAACGAAAGUUAGGGGAUCGAARACGACCAGAUACCGUCGUAGUCUUAACCAUAAACUAUGCCGACUAGGGAUCGGAUGAUGUUAAUUUUUUAAUGACUCAUUCGGCGCCUUACGGGAAACCAAAG